rnacentral:lncRNA from 1 species
UUUGUGCUGAUUCUAGCAAAACUGGUAAGCACAUACUAGCAAAUCUUGGCUUUUUGGGCUAUUUUUGUUCUGCAUUUCUUGUACUUCUUUUUCCCCAGCUACUGGAAACAGGAUACUACAACUCAUUUUCUUGAUGCUCCUCACGUUAUUAUGGUGGCUUUAUUUCUGCUUUGUUGGUUUCUGUGUUUCUUUUCCCCUCCCCCCCCCCCCCCACCACACACACUUCUGCAUGUGGGUUUUUUGAUUUUUUUCGUUUAAACUUCUGUAAAAAGUAGUUCUUGAACAAGUUUUGGGAUGAUAUUUUUGUAGGUAUUUUUCCUUUUGCUUUGAUAUUAGUCUAUUUGAAGUAAAUUUCUUGUGUUUCUACAUAGGGGGUUUCAUGUAAAUAGCAAGUCUUGGGUUUUGUUGGGUGUUUACAAAGAGAGUGGCCUUUGGGUUGUGUCUUUCAAAUGCAUAGUUAAACAUAACGAGAGUUCUCUGAAUUUUUUCACAUUUUUUUACUGGCUAGAUUUCUGCUGUCUGAGUUGAUUCUUUUUGCUUCCGCAGAUAUUAUUCGUAGCUGAUGUUUGAUUUUGUCUUUGAAUAAUAUAUUUUAAUCUAUGCUUCUAUUUAUUCUUGUGAUCUUCUCAUUAAUUUUAUGUUCUUUUUCAGCUUUGCAAAACUAUAAAAGAUAGAUGCUUGCUGUCUCCUGUUUAGGUGGUUCCUUCAACUGAUACCGAGAUGCUGUUUUCCGUUGCAGGUUCUUCAAAUCUCCCACCUUUCAAUUAAAAUAACAAUAAUAUUUUACAAUUUCUGGAUUUACAUGUGAUUUCUGGUUGAAAGUUUGGAUCUUUUCAAG